GGGCGCGUGGUCUAGUGGUAUGAUUCUUCCUUAGCAAGCUCUUGAUAUCCUCAAGACGGUCUUGGAAGAGGUCCUGGGUUCAAUUCCCAGCGCGUCCA
rfam:Pseudocercospora fijiensis CIRAD86 unplaced genomic scaffold MYCFIscaffold_6, whole genome shotgun sequence.